UUUCAUGGACAAAAAGAUUGUCAAACGAAAUCAACCAAAUUAAUAGCAUAAAGUAAUUAAUGGUUGCCCACUAAUGCACUAGUUAAAUCACGACCCCAUAAUGGACCCAAGAAAAAGGCACUGACAAUGAAUGCCCUUAGCAUGUAGCAACAAGCUUAUUCCACUAUCUAACAGAAGUGGGUUGCUUAGUGGAUACCAUCCAACAACCCACCAAUUAAAGCUGCCAGAAAAGAAUUGCCCA
rnacentral:misc_RNA from 1 species